GUUGACGAGUUUACAACUCAACUCGUGUUUCCGUUUAUUAUUCAGAAUUCACCGAUUAAGUAUCUUAGCUCCUGAAAUCAUGGCCGCCAUCUUGUUUUAUAUGUCGCGGAAGAGAAGAGACCAUCACGGCAGACUGCAUCGUCCAUAAUAAACAUAACAAACCAAGGCGGACGCAUCGUCCACGAGAAACAUAAG